rnacentral:rRNA from 1 species
ACGUAGGGUGCAAGCGUUAAUCGGAAUUAUUGGGCGUAAAGGGCGUGUAGGCGGUCUGCUAAGUCAUGUGUGAAAUCCCUCGGCUUAACCGAGGAACGACGCAUGAAACUGGCAAGCUAGAGUACCAAAGAGGGGGGUGGAAUUCCUGGUGUAGCGGUGAAAUGCGUAGAGAUCAGGAAGAACAUCGGUGGCGAAGGCGCUCUGCUGGACCAUAACUGACACUCAGGGACGAAAGCUAGGGGAGCGAAUGGGA